AGAGUUUGAUCGUGGCUCAGGACGAACGCUGGCGGCGUGCUUAACACAUGCAAGUCGAACGGAAAGGCCCUGCUUUUGUGGGGUGCUCGAGUGGCGAACGGGUGAGUAACACGUGAGUAACCUGCCCUUGACUUUGGGAUAACUUCAGGAAACUGGGGCUAAUACCGGAUAGGAGCUCCUGCUGCAUGGUGGGGGUUGGAAAGUUUCGGCGGUUGGGGAUGGACUCGCGGCUUAUCAGCUUGUUGGUGGGGUAGUGGCUUACCAAGGCUUUGACGGGUAGCCGGCCUGAGAGGGUGACCGGCCACAUUGGGACUGAGAUACGGCCCAGACUCCUACGGGAGGCAGCAGUGGGGAAUAUUGCACAAUGGGCGGAAGCCUGAUGCAGCAACGCCGCGUGCGGGAUGACGGCCUUCGGGUUGUAAACCGCUUUCGCCUGUGACGAAGCGUGAGUGACGGUAAUGGAAAGAGC
rnacentral:rRNA from 1 species